AAAUCACCUUACCAUCUCUAUGUCCUCUGUCGCUUUUUAAAUCCCCUUCGUCGACAAUGGCGGUUAUCUAUCAACGCCGCCGUGUUAACGACGUCGAUCAAUCGAGAUUUUAGCUCCGGACACAAUGGCGCAAGUUCAUUCUCGCAUUCGUCAGAAAAUGGCGUAUGCAGCAUAGAUGCCAGCAAAUUUGGGGUUAGAAGGUUCCCAUGUUCAGAUUCAUAGGACCACUACGUCAUGCUUGAAUUUCGACACUAUGAGUAAAGGUCGGAGAUGAAGUUUUCCUCAAAAGCAUUCUAAACUCUACCGAGACUGUAGCAAGAGGAAGGGUCAUUCAAGUACCAAUAAAAAAAUGUAAACUUGGUAAGACCAUAUGGUUUAUUUUCUACAAUUCAAGAUUGUAUUGGUGCAUCCAUUGCAUGGCCCUAUCCAUUCAUCUAGGUAGUCCAUGAGGAUUGAGGACGCAUGAUGACUCAAGAUUUUAUGCUUCUUAUUUCUUUAAUUGCUUUUAAUUUCUUUGUUAAAUGUUAAGACUUUAUGUUAGAUAAUGUUAUAACUUAUUUAUGGUUAGUGUUUUUGUUAUGAACAUGCUUAUUUGAAAUAUAAUGAAGUUUUAUUUCUUU
rnacentral:lncRNA from 1 species